rnacentral:misc_RNA from 1 species
GGAAGUAAAAGUCGUUAACAAGGUUUCCGUAGGUGAACCUGCGGAAGGAUCAUUCAUAAUAAAGUGUUUUAUGGCACUUUUUAAAAAUCCAUAUCCACCUUGUGUGCAAUGUUAGAUCUCGUCAAUCUUGGCGAGAUUUUUAUACAUCAACUCAUUCUUUAACUAAUUUGUCUGAAAAAUAUUAUGAAUACUUAAUUCAAAAUACAACUUUCAACAACGGAUCUCUUGGCUCUC